rnacentral:rRNA from 1 species
UACAGAGGUCCCGAGCGUUGUUCGGAUUCACUGGGCGUAAAGGGUGCGUAGGUGGUGGGAUAAGUCGGAUGUGAAAUCUCGGAGCUUAACUCCGAAACUGCAUUGGAAACUGUCCUGCUAGAGGGUUGGAGGGGGGACUGGAAUACUUGGGUGUAGCAGUGAAAUGCGUAGAUAUCAAGUGGAACACCGGUGGCGAAGGCGAGUCCCUGGACAACACCUGACACUGGAGGCACGAAAGCUAGGGGAGCAAACAGG